UACGUAGGUGGCAAGCGUUGUCCGGAAUUAUUGGGCGUAAAGCGCGCGCAGGUGGUUCCUUAAGUCUGAUGUGAAAGCCCACGGCUCAACCGUGGAGGGUCAUUGGAAACUGGGGAACUUGAGUGCAGAAGAGGAAAGUGGAAUUCCAAGUGUAGCGGUGAAAUGCGUAGAGAUUUGGAGGAACACCAGUGGCGAAGGCGACUUACUGGACUGUAACUGACGCUGAGGCAUGAAAGCGUGGGGAGCAAACAGG
rnacentral:rRNA from 1 species